rnacentral:rRNA from 1 species
GAAAGUAAAGAAGGGCGCAUGGCGGAUGCCUUGGCUCUCGGAGGCGAUGAAGGACGUGAUAAGCUGCGAUAAGCUCCGGGGAGGUGCAAAUAACCUUUGAUCCGGGGAUUUCCGAAUGGGACAACCCGGCGUGUUGAAGACACGCCACCUGAUCAUUUCAGGAGCUAACGCAGGGAACUGAAACAUCUUAGUACCUGCAGGAAAAGAAAAUAACAAUGAUUCCCCCAGUAGUGGCGAGCGAACGGGGAAUAGCCCAAACCGUUCAUGUUACGGCAUGAUCGGGGUUGUAGGACUACGUCGUUGCAUGAAGACAUCGGAGAAGAACUUUCUGGAAAGAAAGACCAUAGAGCAUGACAGUUGCGUAUUCGUAUGUUGUCGAAGCAUAGUAGUAUCCUGAGUAGCGCGGAGCACGAGGAAUUCUGCGUGAAUCUGCCGGGACCAUCCGGUAAGGCUAAAUACUCCCGAGAGACCGAUAGCGAACCAGUACCGUGAGGGAAAGGUGAAAAGCACUUCGAACAGAAGAGUGAAAUAGUUCCUGAACCCGUGCGCCUACAAGCGGUCGGAGCUGCUUAAAGCAGUGACGGCGUGCCUUUUGCAUAAUGAACCUACGAGUUGCCUUUGCCGGCAAGGUUAAGUGUGACGACACACGUAUCCGAAGCGAAAGCGAGUCUGAAGAGGGCGUAUAGUCGGCAGUGGCAGACGCGAAACCAAGUGAUCUACCCUUGGCCAGGUUGAAGGCUGGGUAACACCAGCUGGAGGACCGCACCAAUAAGCGUUGAAAAGCUUCUGGAUGAGCUGAGGGUAGGGGUGAAAGGCUAAUCAAACUUGGAGAUAGCUCGUACUCCCCGAAAUGCAUUUAGGUGCAGCCUUGUGGGUUACUGAUGUGAGGUAGAGCGACUGAUAAGAUGCGAGGGCUUCACCGCCUAUCAAGUCUUGACAAACUCCGAAUGCGUGUCAGUUCUAUGUCAGGAGUGAGGGCAUGGGUGCUAAGGUCCAUGUCCUAAAGGAGAACAAUCCGGACCAACAGCUAAGGUCCCGAAAUGAAUACUAAGUUGAACUAACGAAGUCAGAUUGCUAAGACAGCUAGGAUGUUGGCUUGGAAGCAGCCAUUCAUUUAAAGAGUGCGUAACAGCUCACUAGUCGAGGAGUCUGGCGUGGAUAAUAAUCGGGUAUUAAGUUGUCUACCGAAGCAGUGGGAUCAUUGAAAUGAUCGGUAGGGGAGCAUUCCAGUCAGCGUCGAAGGCGUACCGCGAGGUAUUCUGGAGCGUCUGGAAAAGCAAAUGUAGGUAUAAGUAACGAUAAAGGGGGCGGGAAACCCCCUCGCCGAAAGACUAAGGUUUCCUGAUCAACGCUAAUCGGAUCAGGGUAAGUCGGGUCCUAAGGCUCAGCCGAAGGGCGAUGCCGAUGGCAGAAACGGUUAAUAUUCCGUUACUACCUCCAGGAGUGAUGUGGAGACGCAGUAGUGACAAUGCCGCCAUCUGACGGAAUAGAUGGUUGAAGGGUGUAGAUGUUGAUCUUGGCAGGCAAAUCCACCAUGAGAAUCGAACCUGAUAGUAUGCCGCGUCCCUCGGGACAAGGCAAUAGUGCAUGUAAUCAUGCUGCCAAGAAAAUCCGCUAAACUAAAUCCUGUAGGUACCCGUACCGUAAACGGACACACGUAGUCGGGAUGAAUAUUCUAAGGCGCUUGAGUGAUUCACGGUUAAGGAACUAGGCAAACUGACCCUGUAACUUCGGGAUAAAGGGUCCCUACCCGGUGACGGGAGGGCGCAGAGAAUAGGUCCAGGCAACUGUUUAACAAAAACACAGGGCUGUGCAAAAUUGAAAGAUGAAGUAUACAGCCUGACACCUGCCCGGUGCUGGAAGGUUAAGAGGAGAUGUCAUCGCAAGAGAAGCAUUGAAUUGAAGCCCCAGUAAACGGCGGCCGUAACUAUAACGGUCCUAAGGUAGCGAAAUUCCUUGUCGGGUAAGUUCCGACCUGCACGAAUGGUGUAAUGAUCUGGACGCUGUCUCAACCGUGAGCUCAGUGAAAUUGUAGUAUCGGUGAAGAUGCCGAUUACCCGCGAUGGGACGAAAAGACCCCGUGAACCUUUACUAUAGCUUAUCAUUGAAUCUGGGCACGUGAUGUGUAGGAUAGGUCGGAGGCUUUGAAGGGGGUACGCCAGUAUCCUUGGAGCCGCUGUUGAAAUACGACCCUUCAUUUGUUUGGAUUCUAACCCGUGUAUAUGGGGACACUGAUUGGUGGGUAGUUUGACUGGGGUGGUCGCCUCCAAAAGCGUAACGGAGGCUUCUA